AUCAGGAGGAGGAUCAUCUGCCUUCAGACUGGGGUUUGACCGCAGGGAUGGCAGCCAUUCUUUACUGAGAACUCAAACUCCUUAUCUUCACAGAACUCUCGUCUCCUAAUGAAGAAGCAAACUCAAGAGACCAAACUUCUACCAAGAAGGUUUUUGAGUUCAACCUAUUUUUUCUGAAUUGCACCUCAUGCCCCCUGUUUGAAAUGAAGACCUUCCCUCAAUAUCACCCCCUGAGCCUGGGGUCCUGGCACCAUGCUUCUUGUACUCCCAGCUACUGUCUGUGUCCUGUUCUAAACCAGAUGAGCCACUCUUCUGACUGUGGACAUUAUCACUCCUAGAUAAUCCUGCUCUCACGACCCACCCACAUUAUCAUAACAAAGCAAGUACACAUGGAGCUUGAGAGCCCCAUAAUCCUUCAGAUAAAGCUAGAGGCCAGGUCCGUAGCAGAUUGGCUCUCCUACUUCUGGAUUCUUCCUCUUCCCCAUGGCAGGUCUCCAGAUGGAGUCUCUGAGAUGGAACACAUCUGGCCAGUAGAUGCAUGUUUACUUAUUCCUGAUCUAACAGAUUAGCCUGACCUAAGUGUCAUGGUUGUUGAAUUGAAUAUAUCCACUUCAUAUCCAUUCUAUCCCUGAUCAUCGCAUUGGCUUUAUCCCGCUAGACCCAGCUACAGCUUCCCAUCUCUGCUUUCCAACUAUGUUGCUCAGGGUUUAAAUGACUGAAGCAUGAUGACUAAGGAGAGCCGAAAGGUAUUUGCUGUUUGGUUAAGUGGUGCUCUCCUACUCAUUUCCAACUAAGACUUUCAUGGACAGACAGAGAGAGCUUACUUGCAACUGUUUAUUGUAGAGAAUUUACUGAAAAUAAACUGACCAAAUGCUAUGACUAAUAUGCUA